rnacentral:lncRNA from 1 species
CUCGCAAUUCAUAUGGUCCCAUGUUCAUUUGAUUUGAUUUUUUGUCCCAUACAAGAAUAUAUAUGGCUUACUGGUGGGGAUCUCCACCAUUUACAAGUAUUCAAACAGGAGGGGUGGUGGUGACCCCCAGGGACUUUACCUACAUUUCAUUUUAUUUGUUUUAUUGUCCCCUACAAGAAUAUAUAUGGUUUAGGGGUGGGGAUGUUGACCGUUUACAAGUUUUCAAACAAGAGGGGGUGGGAUGACCCCCUCAGGACUUCCCUUUUAUCUCAUUUUAUUUGUUUUAUUGUCCCCUACAAGAAUAUAUAUGGUUUAGGGGUGGGGAUCUGGACCAUUUACAAGAUAAUAGUACAUUCUCAAAUUGAACGGGGUGGGGGUGACCCC